UACGUAGGGUGCAAGCGUUGUCCGGAAUUAUUGGGCGUAAAGAGCUCGUAGGCGGUUUGUUGCGUCGGCUGUGAAAUCCCGAGGCUCAACCUCGGGUCUGCAGUCGAUACGAGCAAACUAGAGUGUUGCAGGGGAGACUGGAAUUCCUGGUGUAGCGGUGAAAUGCGCAGAUAUCAGGAGGAACACCGGUGGCGAAGGCGACGUGCUGGGCUGAACCUGACGCUGAGAUGCGAAAGUGUGGGGAUCAAACAGG
rnacentral:rRNA from 1 species